CAUUGUUCUGCAUGCCCCAGGCCAGAGCUGGCUGCACAACGCCGACAUCUGCGCUCGCUCUGUGCGUUCCUCAUACCACGGGGGGAUGGAAACAUCUGGGGGAAGGAUGGAGCGAGCCCUGCAGAAGGAGGAAGGUGAUGUGGAACAGAUGCCGGGAGCCGGCAGAGCCUUUGGAAGGGCUGCGUGCGUGCACGCAUGUGUGCAAGAGCUUCGUGGCUUCUGCUGGGAGAAGGGAGCUGCCCCGCUGCCUGCCACCCAGGGAGCGAGCCGCCCCACUGCGACAGGAGCUGGGCUGCCGUGCCAGGAGGUCACACGUUUCUCAAAGCUGCCGGAAGGCGGACAGCUUUGCAGCCAAGCAGAUGCUGCGUGCGCGGUGCUCACCCGCCCCGGGGAGCUGCGGGAGGGCCCCUCGCAGCCACGCAACCGGCACAGCGCGUGCUUUGGGACACCAAACAGCAAAGCCACAGAGCCUCAGCGUGUUGGGGUUGUGCGUUCAGAGGGAACCUGCACCCUCUGGACUCACCAAACGGCAGCCAAACCCGCGAGCCGAGCGCGGCAGCCCGCCAGCCCCUUGGAUUUGCUCUGUUACAAAUUACACACAGCCCGGGCAGGCAGGGCCUCUGCUCUUUGAAAACCUAUCCCUCGGUGUUUAUUAUAGAAACCAGUUGCCCUAUCUGUUGACAGCCAAAUUGCAAAAGGCCCCGCUGGAACCGCCGCCCCCCGUGCUCCCCUUCUGCCUGGGAUGCCUUUAUCUCAAUGGGCUUUGAGGUGCUGUGCUCGGGGACAGGGCUGCACAGCCACCCCCCGGUGCCACCAAGCACUCUCAGCGUGGAGAAAGCUCACCUGAAUGAUUGCAGUGCCACAAAGAGGACAGAAGGCUUCGCCGGUGUCUGCCUGCUGACUGAAGCUGUCAUUAUCAGCUCAAUAAAUCUCUGGCGCGGGUUUUAUUGAAUCGCUGCCUGAGGGGGAACAAGCCUGUAAAGGUUGAGGAGAGCAGAGCUUUCCCACGCCUGAGACACGCUGCCGGAGCUCUUGCACACAUUCCGGGCCUGCCAGCACUCCGCAAAUGUUUGGACAGCCUUGAACAAAUAACACACCUUUAAAGAGGCCAGCAUGAAAUUCUUCCUCACCCCUCGGCCGCCCUCCCGCUGCCUCGUGCCCCCCCCCCAGCACCCCGCAGUGCUCCAUGUGUGUGUGCGCGCGGGGUUUAUUUUAGGCUCGUGGCCGUGCUCCAGUUUCGGGGAGGAGGAUGGAGGAUGGGGAUGGGAGGAGGUCUGGCUUUUCCUCCCACAGGAAAGCAAACAAACAAACACGACCCGGCGCUGGGUUUCAGCACACCAGAGCAUCUGGAAGCAAACCCCGAGCCCCUGCCUUGUUGAUAAGAGCCAGCUCCAUUGCCCACCGAUGGGAGAACCUGGGGAUGUAAUUAGAGAUGCGAAGCGCUCGAAACAAAGGGCGAAAAGCAAUCAGCGAAAGAACGGCGGCUUGAGCAGAUGAAUACACCACAAAAGCACCUUACAAACACAGGAUUUAAAACAGAUCAUCUUCUGAUCCUGGGCUAUUUGUCACAGCAAUGAAGGCUGUGGGCAUGCUUUCAUUUUCACUUCAACAGAAAGCUAAUUUUGCUGCUGAGAUCACUCACUUCCAGGAGCCACAACCUGGUGCAAACCCCCACUCUGUGCUGCAAAAUGCACUGCUGAACCAACAGGGCAGUAGCUGCUUCCCCUGGAAACCCAGGAAGAGGAAAGAAGGAAGCCAGCAGCUUUGAAAGAGCUUACUGAAGUGCUCUCAUUUAUUCUUACUCCCAAGCCUUUGCAUGCCAGCUUCCUUGCAAAACACUUCUAUAAAAAAAUAUCAAGAAGGAAAUUAGAUUUAAAAUAGAAAAAAAAAAAAAAAGAAAAAGAAAAAAAAAAGAGAAAAAGAACCCCAACCCUUUCAUACCACUGCAUAAAUCAUCUUGUUCUGAACCAAAGCAAUAAGAUGCAGCUCUGGCCUUGGUUUCAUUAAGUGACAGGGUGGCUUUCUUCGGGGUGGAACAAAACAGCAGUUUCUGCUCAGGAGCCCACAGAAUCUGCCCCCAGGGUGGAAUUUGCACUUGAGAGGCUGAUGGUGUCUGGGGCUCAUGCUGCCCUCGGGCUCCAGGGCUUUCACCCCAGGCUGUGUCCCCGUGUCCCCACGUGCCUUGGCACGUUGCUCAAUUGCACUCCUGCGUCUCCCAUUGCAGCAGAACUGGUGAGCUCCAGCCCUGGGGCUGCUCCCACACCCCACAGAUGGGGAUCUGGGACAUUCUGGGUUCUCCAUCCCUAUUUCAGCCCGCUGGCUGCAGCUGCUUUCCCUCAAUAAGGACAUGGCUUUGUAGGGCAGCCACUGGAACCGAACCCACGCCGAGCACCCCCAGCUCUCCCAUGAAGCCAUAACACCCAUUGGGCUCCAGCUGAAGGUUGCUGAUGUUGGUUCACAACACACCCACGGGCAUCCUCAAACCCCAGCACUGCCCACACCCCACCAACACA
ensembl:lncRNA